rnacentral:rRNA from 1 species
UACGUAGGGGGCAAGCGUUGUCCGGAUUUAUUGGGCGUAAAGAGCGUGUAGGCGGCUGGGUAGGUCCGCUGUGAAAACUCGAGGCUUAACCUCGAGACGUCGGUGGAAACCAUCCAGCUAGAGUCCGGAAGAGGAGAGUGGAAUUCCUGGUGUAGCGGUGAAAUGCGCAGAUAUCAGGAAGAACACCAAUGGCGAAGGCAGCUCUCUGGGACGGUACUGACGCUGAGACGCGAAAGCGUGGGGAGCGAACAGG